rnacentral:sRNA from 2 species
AAGGCAUACGGGGGCAGGGACGGGGGACCCAUUUCCGGUCCGCGCCCGGGUCGUCUGGCCCGGCGGACCUCGGGGUGAAGUCGCCACCCGGCGACCGGGCACACCUUCCCGCCCGAACCCGACAGCUAACCUCGCAGGCGUGCCGGAGGGAAUCU